UAGAGCAUAUUGUUAAUGCAUCGGAUCCCAUUAGAACUCCACAGUUAAGCGCGCUCAUGCUAGAGUAGUACUGGGAUGGGUGACCACCCAAGAAGUCCUAGUGUUUUAC
rnacentral:rRNA from 1 species